GCCGGGCACCUCACCUGGCCGGGCACCUCACCUGGCCAGGCACCAGGGGUUGACUCUGGAGCUGGUGACAGCCAUCAAGCAGGUGAAAUUCUGACAUUGGUUAGCAACGGCAUGGACAGAACUGGAAGAAAUACUGGUGACAGAAACAAGCCACGCAGAGGGAGACAGGUUGUCUUCAUCAGCGACGCUGUGGCGGUUCUAACUCCUGUCUGACUACGGGCUGUGGUCCUGAUUCCGAACACAAAGCACAGGAAGUGUCUCACGUGUGGUGACCCCACGUGCUGCCCGGGUUAGAUGUGGAAGGGCAGCACACGGCAGAGGACAGGCCUUUCAGGAGGGCCCGUGGUCCGGAGUCCGGGUUGUGCCAGGCCACCUCGAGCUUGGAGAUGAUACUUAGUCCACAGGGCCAGGCUGGAGACAAUCUGGCAGGAUCCUGGAGGAGAGAACCUUUACCAGUGCCUGUGCCAGCGACUCCUCGCCUCCCGCUGUGUCACCUCCCCAGGUGCAGGGGUUAGUGCGUGAGCCCUGGGAAAGACAAGCUCUGGGCUUGAAUCCCAGUGUGCCCCUAACAAGCCGUGGAUGUUGGCCUCAAUGUACUCACCUGGAAGCCAAGGCACGAAAACCACUGAAGCAGGCAGGGCGGUGUCCAGGUCAGGAGUGAACCAGUGCAGCCAGUGCCGGGCUCGGGACUGAGAGCAGCCGUGGAGAGCCGCCAGGCUUCGAGCAGCAGAGUCCCGGGAAGCGGCCCCCGCAGGAGCUUCCGUCCGUCCGGGAGAGCUUGGGCACAGAAAGCACGUGCAGGACAAACGUGAGGAGGGAAGCAGCGCUCGCCGUGGGAGGCAGGAUCGCAGGCACCACCACUUCGAGGGCGGGGCAAGCUUUCUGCCCUUAAACAGAAAACCUUAAGCUCUGUGACCCACGGGGACCCCUUGUGGCUGCCAACCGGUGUGUCCGUCCUCCACCCGCGUAUCUGUUCAGGCACCCAGCCCUCCACCUGGCCCUCUGGCCCUCCUCCCACCCCUCCUGCUCCUCCCCUCCCACCCCUCCUCCUCCUUCCCCCCCACCCCUCCAUCCUCCCCUCCAGUUUCCAUACCCUGUCAUUCUCUGCAGUGGCCUCAGGCCAGGCUUCACCCUGAGGUUCUGGAGCCGCACACGUCUUGCAGGUGGCACACGGGACACUGGGGAGCUGAGUGGGGAAACAAGGAGGGAGCAGUAGCUCUGACAGCUCAGCUGGAGUCGGCGCAGCUGCUGACCAAAGGAAGAAGAGACGUAGGGAAAGCUUGGAGGAGGAGAGCAUCCCCGCGCGCCCUCGGGACUGUCCCCCCCGGGCGCUGGGCGGUGCAGUGGGGUUGCUGUGGCCUCUGCCUCACCUGCUGUAGGAGUUAAUCUGUCAGGAGACAGACUUGCUCCAGAGGCUGAAGUAGACCUAACAAGGUUCUGGACGCGAAGUCUCUAUCUACUGUGGGCACUACAGAUGAUUCAGGCCUCGGUAGGAGAUUCAGUGCCACGUAUUCCACUGCGUGUUUGCUGCGUGCUUGCUGUCUGGUUGUAGCUUCCUGACUGUGGUGAGCCAGGUGUUUGCCCCUGGCGUCACCAUCAUGAGAUGACAAUUGCUGAAGCCUAAGGUAUGAAUUAAUAUUACAAUAUCAUAUCAUAUAUCAUAUCAUCGUAUAUCAUGAUA